AACGAACGCUGGCGGCAGGCUUAACACAUGCAAGUCGAGCGCCCCGCAAGGGGAGCGGCAGACGGGUGAGUAACGCGUGGGAAUCUACCCAUCUCUACGGAAUAACGCAUGGAAACGUGUGCUAAUACCGUAUACGUCCUUCGGGAGAAAGAUUUAUCGGAGAUGGAUGAGCCCGCGUUGGAUUAGCUAGUUGGUGGGGUAAAGGCCUACCAAGGCGACGGUCCAUAGCUGGUCUGAGAGGAUGAUCAGCCACACUGGGACUGUGACACGGCCCAGACUCCUACGGGAGGCAGCAGUGGGGAAUAUUGGACAGUGGGCGCAAGCCUGAUCCAGCCAUGCCGCGUGAGUGAUGAAGGCCCUAGGGUUGUAAAGCUCUUUCACCGGUGAAGAUAAUGACGGUAACCGGAGAAGAAGCCCCGGCUAACUUCGUGCCAGCCGCCGCAGUAAAAC
rnacentral:rRNA from 1 species